AACUGGAAAUUCCCUGUCUCCCCUUAACCAGCACUGGAAGCAGAUGGGAAAAGAAUGGCUGUGACUGACUCACACUCUAACCCAGCAACCCUCAGCAUACAAGUGGGAGACCAUAAAGUUUUUCAAGACCCCAAAAGAGGCCAAAGGUCUGAUAAUUGCUGGGAGAAGGUCCACUAUCCAAGAAGAGAAGAGGAAAAGGAAUUAAAAUCUCCAAGCACUGGGGAUGCAAGAAGAGAGUUGCACAGGAGAGAAAGAAGAAGGCGUCCAUGGGGUGACCCUGCCAUUGGAGGGAAAUCCAUGCGGAUAUGUGCAGGGAGUCUAGGAAGUGAAGCCUUAGUGAUCAUUUACAAGAAUGAGGGUUAGGUAAAAUAAGGGAUACAAAGCCACCUGUAGUCUGUUCUAACCUCACUCCACCACUCUAUACAAUCUGUGUUUUGUCAUCUGAAACGUUAAGUAAAGACCUGUUUGGGUCUUCUUCGGAAUCCCAUACAUUUGAGUUCAUUAGUCAGAAAAAGGGAAAAUACCAACACCCCAUCCUGGAAUGGCAGUCAUGUACACUUUUAUAAUGAGAGACUGGGCAGCAAAGAGGGCCCCUUGUGGACCUCACCCAG
rnacentral:lncRNA from 1 species